rnacentral:pre_miRNA from 1 species
AAAUGUAGUAGACUAUAAGUAUACCUGAAAUUGAAACAGUAUACUAAGUAUACUACGUUUAC